UGACAAUUUCAACAGCUACAUCACUAGAUAACAUGUCAAGUUUACUGACAAUUUCAACAGCUAUGUCACUAGAUAACAUGUCAAGUUUACAGACAA